UGUGGCUUUGGUGUUUUACCAAAACAAAGCUACUUAUGUUAUUUUUACUGUUUUUGCAGACAUAGGCUUAAAAAUUGCAUGGUUUAAUAUGUUACUUUUUCAAACAGUAUCUUCAUGCCCUCUCAAGCCACAUUUUUGUGGUCGAUCCUCUGCAAGGGACAAAUGAAGUUGAGGACUCCAGAAAGGCUGGCCACAGAUUUGGACAGUACUUCAAGAUGCGCCGGAACAGACUUGGAAAGGAGGACUGGGUUAACAUAAAGUGGAAGCCUGGGAAGAUAACCCACACCUUUCAGGAAGAUGUAACCAGUUGUGGGGUCUUUGUCAUGCAGAUGGCCAAGAUGACAGUGAUGGAGUUUCCAAAGAUGUCACAGUCGUUUCAGAUUGACUCAUCCAAAGAGUCUCUUAAAAAUCAAAGAAGACUCAUGGCAGAAGAAAUUCUCAUGGCAUCAGUUUCAAAGGAUGAGUUCUGCUCCUUCUGUGGAAAUAAGAACCUGCCUGCUGGAGAUGAUGUUUGGAUUCAGUGUGGAAAUUGCACAAGAUGGUUUCACACGCAGUGCCUAGGAAUGACUGCAGCACAAAUACCAAACAAAAAUACCCCUUGGGAUUGUGUGUUGUGUAUCAGCCCUAGCUAAAGAGGCUGUAGCAUCUUCAUGCCCUCUCAAGCCACAUUUUUGUGGUUGAUCCUCUGCAAGUGCCAAAUGAAGUUGAGGACUCCAGAAAGGCUGGCCACAGAUUUGAACAGUACUUCAAGAUGCACCGGAAAAGACUGGGUUAACAUCAAGUGGAAGCCUGGCAAGAUAACCCACACAUACAUGCUUUUUUUUUUUUACACUUUAAGUAAUUGUGUUAGUACAACCACCUUUCCUGUAGUAUUUACUAAAAUAUUUCUAUAUGUAGUUUGAAGACAUUUCUUGAGAUAAAUACCCACAAAAAGUAUGUGUCUUUUUGAAAAGUAAUAGUUAUAGUUCAACCAUUUUGAGCACUUACAGUGAAAAAAGUAUGGAAACAAUUAUUUUGAAUGAUUAAAGUAUUACAUGUUUUAAGCAAUAAAAAAUGUGCCAAAAAUAGGAUUAUAGUUAUUUUUUUAAAGUGACUGCUGUAGUGCAACCAACAGGGGGCUUUCUAUGUGCGUAUUACUGUUGGAGACAUGAAUCUUUGUUUAUAUGACACAUAUUAAAUGUUUUUGGCAAAAACAAUUCACCAAAAUUAGGAUUAUGUUUUUUUUCAGAAGGCAAGUGCUGUAGUACAACCAGGAAGGGGCCUUCUAUGUGCUACUACAGAAAUCAGAAUGCGAAAAGUCCCUUUCAUUGAUUUUUGGUGAAUAUUUUAAACUUUUA